AAAGCACUGUUAUGUUGUGUGAGAGGAUACUACGUGGUUUUACAAACCAAAAAAUGCCGCGACAACGCAUAAGAACAACUACACGAGGAACUACCGACACAUAAGUGUAUAGAAAAGCGGCGGAUAAAUUUUUUUCUGAAAGGUGGCACGAUAGUCAAAUGGCUGGUAAUGAAUGGUUGACGGGUUUUUUAAAACGGCACCCGAGCCUCUCUUUGAGAUCUCAGAGUUUCAACGAACAUAAUGUGAGCAAAUUUUUUGAUAAUCUUGCUGAGGUAAUGGAUAGGUACAAAUUUGAGCCAAAAGAUAUCUGGAAUAUGGAUGAGACAGGGGUCCACUGUCCAAAAACUUAGCAAGAUUGUUGCUCAAAAAGGAACUAAACAAGUAGGUGCAGUAACCUCAGCAGAACGUGGAAGAUUAGUAACUGUUGUUGUUGCGAUUAAUGCUCAAGGAGGACACAUACCUCCUUUUUUCGUAUUCCCAUUGAAACAAUUCCAAGACCACAUGAUACUUCCUGUUGGUUGUGCCGGAUCUGGCAAUGCUAGUGGAUGGAUGCAGAAUGCAGAACUUUUACUUUUUACAUAAAUACUUUUUGAUUAAA